UUAAAUUGAAGAGUUUGAUCAUGGCUCAGAUUGAACGCUGGCGGCAGGCCUAACACAUGCAAGUCGAACGGUAACAGA
rnacentral:rRNA from 9 species